rfam:Crassostrea gigas strain 05x7-T-G4-1.051#20 contig18005, whole genome shotgun sequence.
CCCGUGAUAGCUCAGUUGGUAGAGCGGAGGACUGUAGAGUGCUCUAACUUAGUAAUCCUUAGGUCGGUGGUUCAAAUCCGCCUCGCGGGA